UUUGCCUUUCUUUAAGAAAAAAAGCUUUCUCAAUCCCAUGAUGCUGGGUCCAGGCUCAUUCCUGGGAGUCAUGUCCCAUGUUGCCAGCGAGAUUUACACCCUAGGAGUGAUGUCCCAUGUAGUGGGGAGGGAAUUGCUCAUAGCAGGGG